rnacentral:rRNA from 1 species
UAAUACAGAGGUGGCAAGCGUUGUUCGGAAUUACUGGGCGUAAAGGGCGCGUAGGUGGCCUUCUUAGUCAGACGUGAAAUCCCCGGGCUUAACUCGGGAACUGCGUCUGAUACUGGAAGGCUUGAGUUCGGGAGAGGGAUGUGGAAUUCCAGGUGUAGCGGUGAAAUGCGUAGAUAUCUGGAGGAACACCGGUGGCGAAGGCGGCAUCCUGGACCGAAACUGACACUGAGGCGCGAAAGCCAGGGGAGCAAACGGGAUUAGAUACCCCGGUAG